UGGCAGUAGCCCUUGAGCAUUGCUAGGUGCGAAGCGUGCCAGGGAUCACUCGUGGGACUGAUGACUCGCACUAGGUGCAUAGGAGCCGAUAUUGGUGAGUGUGACUCGGUAGAGUAUGUCGUGUAGGACGACGACGGUGGGUAGUACUUGGAGACGACCCGUGCCUGGACCAUUAGUGGACUGUGGAGCCUGGGCCCUUUGGGCAGGCGCAGUCAGCUGUGAGUGACAGCGGCCCGACACCUACGGGUAGGGCAGAGUUCUGGUCAGGACGGUAGUCCGAGCUUAGACCCGGGAGCGUGGAAUGCUA
rnacentral:lncRNA from 1 species